UACGGAGGGUGCAAGCGUUAUCCGGAUUUACUGGGUUUAAAGGGUGCGUAGGUGGGUUGGUAAGUCAGUGGUGAAAUACUUUCGCUUAACGAAGGAACUGCCAUUGAUACUAUCAAUCUUGAAUGCAGUGGAGGCAGGCGGAAUGCGUCAUGUAGCGGUGAAAUGCUUAGAUAUGACGCAGAACACCAAUUGCGAAGGCAGCUUGCUACACUGUUAUUGACACUGAGGCACGAAAGCCAAGGGAGCAAACAGG
rnacentral:rRNA from 1 species